rnacentral:lncRNA from 1 species
CUGGAGCUUAUCUGGCGUUUGUUAGUGCAGAGCUCAUUGUGUUGUCAUGCAUUGUCUAGUUUAGGCUUGAUUCCACUGUCACAUAAUCCAAGGGAAAAUGAAGAGCUCUGUGGACUGAUCUCCAUUUAAUUUCAAUUUUUCUAUUGUUAGUGCUCUGCCUGCUAGGGAAUUCCAGAAAGUGUUGCUUCAUAAUUACAAGAUGGGAUAGAGUCAAGCCCCAUGGAGUCAGGAUUUGAACACACAUCUGCAGGUCUGGAGGAUGAUAGAACCUAUCUUGUCUUUACUCACAUUCCAUGCUGGUCCCCAGGGCCCCAGUGCUGUACAUUCCACAAUGCAAUCAAGAUUCAUUUGGAAUUCUCUGAAGUGCUCCAGCAGGCCUUGUGCAACUCGAAGGUUCUGUCAACUCCUGUCUGGGGCUGACAUAAA